UGGCGGACGGGUGAGUAACGCGUGGAAAACCUGCCGUAUACUGGGGGAUAACACUUAGAAAUAGGUGCUAAUACCGCAUAGGCGCACAGCUUCGCAUGAAGCGGUGUGAAAAACUCUGGUGGUAUACGAUGGUUCCGCGUCUGAUUAGCUAGUUGGUGGGGUAAUGGCCUACCAAGGCAACGAUCAGUAGCCGGCCUGAGAGGGUGAACGGCCACAUUGGGACUGAGACACGGCCCAAACUCCUACGGAAGGCAGCAG
rnacentral:rRNA from 1 species